ensembl:lncRNA
AUGUGCAGACACGCAGACACAUAUGCAUACACACACAGGCACAUACCCCCCCCCCACACACACAGCAAAGCACACUUAUUUCCAACAAAUAUCUUUUCUGUGCAUGACAGAGCUGUUCCACAUCCACUCCUCUCUUGCUCUCUCUUUUCAUACAUUUCUCACAUACACACACUGAAAAGUAUAGUUAUUUCUACCCAAGAAACAUGUGUAUGGCUCUUUUCCCUAUAUUAUUCACUCACUAGCUCUCUCCUUCCAUACAUUACUCACUCUUUCUCUCUUUCCAUACAUACAUUUCUCAAUGGCUUGUUCGGUCUUUCCCUAGAUUGCUCAUUCUUUUCUUGUCUUCAUCCAUCCAUCUCUCAUUUCUCACGGUCUCCAUUCAGAUGCCUGUCACUGCCUAGGUCUCUCUUCCCUUUAUUUUCUGUCUUUGGUUUCUAGACAUUCAUGUUUCGCUCUUCCUUAUAUCUCUUUACCCUUUUAUAGCACUUGUGUCUAAAUUCAUCCAUUUCCCAAAGUCUGGGUCUCAAAUGGGAUUCCCUCCUACUUCUCUCAGGCCUCUUAAUCAACUGUUUCACUUUGGCUGUGUCUCCCUGGUUUUCCUUUUCAUCCUUCUUCUCGUCAGGUUAGCUGUGUCAAACCAUGUAUUUCACACAAAUUCACACAUUUCUUGCAUAUUUUGACAAUCACUCAUAUAUCAGAGUUUGGGUCAGUCUGUCACCCUGCCAUUCUCACCCUUUCAUUUUCUCACUCCACUCUCCUCUCUCUACUUCUCUUUAUUCAAUCACCUUUGACCCUUUGUAUAGCCAUUCAGCCUCCAUUUUCUGUAUACAUAUAUCUGCCACUUUUUUCAUUUAGUCUCUUGGGACUCUUCUCUCACUCAGGGGUUUUUUCUUAGGAGAGAAACAUUCCUCCUAACUGGAUUCUACUCCCUCUCUGAGACUGCUUUUUUUCCCAAUAUUCCUUAUCUAAUCCUCACCAUCUCAACUUUCUUAUAACCAUGGCUAUCUCUGUUUUUUCACCUGUCUCUCCCUCAACUCUUAUGCUUUCCAACACACCUCACUGUCUCAAUAUCUACAGCGCCAACCUUUCUCUAUGUAAAGCUACUUUUCCAUAACCCUCUAACUGUCUUGGUUUCUCUACAUCCAUCACUCAUGCCCCCCUUUUUACACUUAUCCAGCUUUCUGGCUAGUUUCCUCUUUUGCUGCUUUUCAGGCUUAUUUGUCAGCUUCAACUUCACAUAUAGUUCGACUCUCCUCCUUGACUUCAGGACGUACUGUUCCAAACUUCAGGUCUCAUGCUGUUUUUUUCUAGGUAGUUCCAGGUAUCUCUAAACUUUCACUUCUUAGAAAGUGAAAUCAUCCAAGAAUAUGUCUGGUCACUAAUCUCCUGCAACAUGAGUGAUGGUCAGCACUGGUUUUUGCCUUGUAAUUGUAACCAGACUCCUGUCCCUGUGACCUAGAACUGUGCAUGGCAACAGAUUCCUAAUCCCCUUUCUGGCAAAGAGUCCCCUGCAGUCUCUAUCUGACUGGUUGUCUAAAGCUCCUUUUGUGUGGGCUGAAAACUCCAGAAAGCGCCACUGGUGAGUCCAUCGUUCCAGGAGCCUAUUGUUGGCUUCUUCUCAUGGUCACAGCCUCUGCUGCACUCCCUAAUUAAAGUCUGUGUUGAACAGUCCUCUCACCCCAUUCUUUUGUCUGAUCUGCCAUUCCAGAAUUCGUUUUGAGAUGUUAUUUUAAUAUAGUUUGGACGUGAAUUUGGGAGAACUCAAGAAAAUCCCUCCCUUUUAUCUACCAUCUUUGUUCCUCUGUCCUCCGCUGCUGAAAUGUCUAUAUUCAUACACAUACAAUUUGCAUCCAUUUUUCCUUCUCUGAAAGAGGCAAUAAGAAAAUUUGUUCCUCUCACUCUUACCAGUCAUUCUUUACUUCCUUGCUGCUCCUGAAUUCUAUCAUCUUCCAGUGGCUGUGUCUUUCCAUUCAACCUUUCCCCCAUUGAAAUUUCACUGUCAUUACAAGUCUCAGAGUUUGCAUCUCUCCUUUCCCUCCAUCUUUGGGGCCUGUGUGUCUCCCAUGCUCACCUUCACCGUCUCUGGCUUUCUCCAUCCACUCCCUGCCUCGAACUUUCUCUUCAACCUCUCAUGAAUAUAUCCAUCUCAUCCAUCUCUUCUCAACCUCUCAUGAAUAUAUAAUUCAUAUAACGUUCAUCAUAUGCCUUUUUGAUCUGAACCUGUGUUAUUCUCUACCUCCACAGAGUUGGUUUUCCAGGUUAGUUAAUGUAUCUUAAUGACAGGCUGAUGACGCAGGAACCAUGAAAAAUAUUUCACUUUUUCUUUUACAGCUGAAAAAUGAAACAAAAAGCCUCCACAGAUAUUUGUCAGAAAAAUGUUUUUGCACAUGGUAUAUGACAUUAUAAAGUUGAGAACUCGGGGACAAAAAAAAUCUCACUCCAUUAUUUGUCACCCAUCUCUGCAAAACAUUCCUGUGUCCAAUCCUGAUGCUCUCUCUUUUGAAAUAUCAAGUUGGGUUUUACCAAGAGUCAAUCUGGUAAGAUUGACUUCCUGUUUUUCUUGAUAAAUACUCAGAAGGCUCAGCCGGUGAUUAGAGUCCUGUCCAAUGGUGAGGAAAAAGGAGAUGGGGGAAAGCUUUUCAGAAGCUGUCUUCUUUCCUUCACCUUGUUUUCUCCUUUUCUCCUCGUCUUCCCAGGAUAUCACCCCAAGCUCCUAAGUUUUCCCAGCCUCUGCCGCCACUGCCAACUUGGUCUCUGCUACUACAUCCUAGGCCAGUGAUGUCUGCAGUGCCUCCACCACUAUAAUGGCCCCUUUGGCCUCCAAAGCCACCAUCCUCAGCCUACUUUCUUUGUUUCCAUCAGCCUCCCUGUCCUCCAUGGACUCUUUUGCAGCUUUACCUUUUCCUUUUGGGUAAAAGGUCACAAACUGUACAUUGUGCCUGACUCUGUCCCCCUCCUUGUGACUAUCCUGGCACCCAAAGGAUAAAAUGAAUCUUUCAUUGUUUCUUCUUUUAUAUCUUCAUCCAGACCUCUGAAGAACUUUGUAGAACUCUGUCCUUGGUGCUGACUUCUGUUCUUUGAGCUCCCGCUGGAUGGCUGUGGUUGUUACAAGUUUCUGUGUUGUUACAAGAAUUCAGAGCUUCUUUUGCAUCUUCCACAGAGAUCAAUUCAGCAAACGGGUCCCCUUUUGGUCAGCCUUGGAUAUUCUGGGGAAGGACGAACAUUGCCUUCUCACACACUUGGACUCUCCUCACUUGAGCUCUUGGCCAUAUUAUCCAGCACCAGUGUCUCUGAAGCUCCCAGCUUGCUUUUGUUCAAAUUCCAGGGAUCCUUCUCCCCACUUCUUUUGUUCUCUUGUCCUUUACUUUUCUUCACUGUGUAGUCCAGAAUGAGCACUUUACUAUCAAUCUUGAUUCCUUGUUUCUCUUCCAAGAUCUUGUCCACAUCUGCUUCCAUCUCAAAUACGCAAUUUUGCUGGGUGUCCCAUCCUUGUGCACACCAGUCUGACACCAGUAGAGUCUUCACACACUUCUUGGACUUACUUCCCUAGCGGAGAGCAUCCUCCCAUCUCAAUUUUCCUGCUGGCUUUGAGCUCUGGAGCCUUUCUGUGUCUUCAGUGGCUCUGAGUUCCACAUAGCCACAUUUCUUGGUGCCGUCCAUGUUGACAUCCAUGAUGGUGAGGGCUUUGGGGGGAAGACAUCUGCGACGCCAGUUUGAGUUCCAAAGAGUUCGGCUUCAAGUUCAGGUUACUAGCAGAGAGAUUAAAGUUUGUAGAUACUUUUCCAUUGUCUUCCACUCUUGAUUUGGGGAGCUUUCCGCUUGCCCAUUUCCUUUUUCCUUGUUCCUGGUGCUUCUCUGACAUGCAUUUUCUCCUCUUCAUAAUAUUCUUCCUUCUCUUCUCCUCUUCUUCCUCUUCUUUAUUUUUUCUUGCUCCUCCUCCUCCUCUUCUUCUUCCUCUUCCUCCUCUUCUUGUUGUUCCUCUUCUUUCUCCUCUCUUCCUUUUCCAUUUCUUCCUCCUCUUCCUCUUCUUUUAAUUCCUCUUCUUCCUCCUCCAUUUCUUCCUUCCCACGCUCCUAUUCCUCCUCCUCCAUUUCAUCUUCCUUCAUUUCUUCUUCCCCACCCUCCUCCUCCUCUUCCUCCUCCAUUUCUUCUUCUUCCUCCAUUUCUUCUCUACCAUCCUCCUCCUCCAUUUCUUCCUCCUUCAUUUCUUCUUCCCCACCCUCCAGUUUCUUUUCCUCUUUUUCCUCCUCCUCCUCUUCUUCCUUCUCUUCCUCUUCUUUCUCCUCCUCCUCUUCCUUUUUCAUUUUUUUCUCCUCCUCUUCUUUUUCCAUUUCUUCUUCCUCCUCCUCCAUUUCUUCUUUCCCUCCCUUCUCCUCCUCCAUUUCUUCUUCCUCCUCCAUUUCAUCUUCCUCACCAUCCUCCUCCAUUUAGUCGUUUUCUUCUUCCUCCUCCUCCUUUACUUUUUCCUUCUUCAUUUUUUUCUUCCCCACCCUUCUCCUCCUCUUUCUCCUCCAUUUCUUCUUCCCCAACUUCUUCACCCUCCAUUUGUUCCUCUUCUUCUUCCUCCUUCAUUUUUUGUUCCCCAUCCUCCUCUUGCUCCUCCUCUUCCAUUUCUUCCACCUUCAUUUCUUCUUCCCCACCCUCCUCCUCCUCCGCCGCCACCAUUUCUUCUUCCUUCGUUUCUUCUUCCCCACCCUCCUCCUCCUCCACCG